rnacentral:rRNA from 1 species
GAUGAACGCUGGCGGCGUGCCUAAUACAUGCAAGUCGAGCGAACGGACGAGAAGCUUGCUUCUCUGAUGUUAGCGGCGGACGGGUGAGUAACACGUGGAUAACCUACCUAUAAGACUGGGAUAACUUCGGGAAACCGGAGCUAAUACCGUAUAAUAUUUUGAACCGCAUGGUUCAAUAGUGAAAGACGGUGGUGCGGGAACUUAUCGAGGGAUCCGCGCUGCAUGAGCUAGUUGGUAAGGUAACGGGCUACCAAGGCUACGCUGCAUAGCCGAACUGAGAGGCUGAUCGGCCACCCGGGAACUGGGACACGCUCCAGACUCCUACGGGAGGCCGCAGUAGGGAAUCUUCCGCAGUGGGCGAAAACCUGACGGAGCAAGGCCGCGUGAGUGAUGGAGGUCUUCGGAUCGUGAAACUCUGUUAUUAGGGAAGAACAUAUGUGUAAGUAACUGUGCACAUCUUGACGGUACCUAAUCAGAAAGCCACGGCUAACUACGUG